GGGGAUAUGGUGGAAUUGGUAUACACACACGUUUGAGGGGCGUGGCCAUCUUGGCGUGAGGGUUCGAGUCCCUCUAUCCCCACCA
rnacentral:tRNA from 1 species